rnacentral:rRNA from 1 species
AACGAACGCUGGCGGCAGGCUUAACACAUGCAAGUCGAACGGGUGUAGCAAUACAUCAGUGGCAGACGGGUGAGUAACGCGUGGGAACGUGCCCUUCGGUUCGGAAUAACUCAGGGAAACUUGAGCUAAUACCGAAUACGUGCGAGAGCAGAAAGAUUUAUCGCCGAAGGAUCGGCCCGCGUCCGAUUAGCUAGUUGGUGAGGUAAUGGCUCACCAAGGCGACGAUCGGUAGCUGGUCUGAGAGGAUGAUCAGCCACACUGGGACUGAGACACGGCCCAGACUCCUACGGGAGGCAGCAGUGGGGAAUAUUGGACAAUGGGCGCAAGCCUGAUCCAGCCAUGCCGCGUGAGUGAUGAAGGCCCUAGGGUUGUAAAGCUCUUUCGCCAGGGACGAUAAUGACGGUACCUGGAUAAGAAGCCCCGGCUAACUUCGUGCCAGCCGCCGCGGUAA